rnacentral:pre_miRNA from 1 species
AUGAGAUGAAAUUAAUGUUUGGACAUGAAAUUUCACACUGAUUUCAUCUCAUGA